rnacentral:misc_RNA from 1 species
UCAAACUUGGUCAUUUAGAGGAAGUAAAAGUCGUAACAAGGUAACCGUAGGUGAACCUGCGGUUGGAUCAUUAAAAAAAACAUAUGUAAAAGGGGGGGAUUUUCCCCACCUUUUAUACAAACCAUGUGAAUUAUUUAAAAUGUCUCUCGGUGGGUUAAAAAGAAAAGGUAAAAACCUUUUCCGAGUCUUUUUUUUUUUUUAAAAAAUCACUCACCCACCGUGUAAAUAAACUACCUUUUUUGUUAUUUAAAAGUGUACUUCACUUGAAAAAAAAAAGAAAAAUAACAACUUUUGACAACGGAUCUCUAGGCUCUCGCAUCGAUGAAGAACGCAGC